rnacentral:rRNA from 1 species
UGGGGAAUUUUGGACAAUGGGCGAAAGCCUGAUCCAGCAAUGCCGCGUGUGUGAAGAAGGCCUUCGGGUUGUAAAGCACUUUUGUCCGGAAAGAAAUCCUUGGCUCUAAUACAGUCGGGGGAUGACGGUACCGGAAGAAUAAGCACCGGCUAACUACGUGCCAGCAGCCGCGGUAAUACGUAGGGUGCAAGCGUUAAUCGGAAUUACUGGGCGUAAAGCGUGCGCAGGCGGUUUGCUAAGACCGAUGUGAAAUCCCCGGGCUCAACCUGGGAACUGCAUUGGUGACUGGCAGGCUAGAGUAUGGCAGAGGGGGGUUAGAAUUCCACGUGUAGCAGUGAAAUGCGUAGAGAUGUGGAGGAAUACCGAUGGCGAAGGCAGCCCCCUGGGCCAAUACUGACGCUCAUGCACGAAAGCGUGGGGAGCAAACAGGAUUAAUA